UGCUGGAUAGCUCAGUCGGUACAGCAUGAGACACUUAACCUCAGGAUUGUAGGUUAGAGCCCCACAUUGGUCAA